UUUAAAUUUUUCAAGCAGGCAGAUCCAAUUUUCUGCCACCGAAUACAUUAGCAUGGGAUAAUGGAAUAGGACCCUGUCCUCCUAUUUUCAGUUGGUUUUGGCAGCGCGAGGACUAGGGUAAUGAUUAAUAGGGAUAGUUGGGGGCAUUAAUAUUUAAUUGUCAGAGGUGAAAUUCUUGGAUUUAUGAAAGAUUAACUUCUGCGAAAGCAUCUGCCAAGGAUGUUUUCAUUAAUCAAGAACGAAAGUUAGGGGAUCGAAGACGAUCAGAUACCGUCGUAGUCUUAACCAUAAACGAUGCCGACCAGCGAUUAGGAGACGUUGAAUACAAAACACCACCAUCGGUUGCGGUCGUCCUUGGCGUCUCGGUUUCGGCCGGGGCGCGGGGACGGUUUAGCCCGGUGGCACCGGUGAAUGACUCCCUAGCAGCUUGUGAGAA
rnacentral:rRNA from 1 species